rnacentral:rRNA from 1 species
CCGUCUAUAUACGUAUAGCAUAUCAAUAAGCGGAGGAAAAGAAACUAACUAGGAUUCCCUCAGUAACGGCGAGUGAAGCGGGAAGAGCUCAAAUUUGAAAUCUUCAAGGUUCUACCUUGACGAAUUGUAGUUUAAAGAAGUGUUUUCUGUUGGAGUUUUGGUAAAAGUUCUUUGGAAUAGGACAUCAUAGAGGGUGAGAAUCCCGUAUUUGACCAUUAUUUCCAACUUUGUGAUACACUUUCAAAGAGUCGGAUUGUUUGGGAAUGCAGUCCAAAAUGGGUGGUAAAUUUCAUCUAAAGCUAAAUACUGGCGAGAGACCGAUAGCGAACAAGUACCGUGAGGGAAAGAUGAAAAGAACUUUGAAAAGAGAGUUAAACAGUACGUGAAAUUGUCAAAAGGGAAGCGUUUGACACCAGUGUUGUUUUCUCGAAAAUCAAUUAAAAAUGAUGGGAUUUUGUGUUGUAUUGACUUUAUCAGCUUUCUGCACUCUUUUCCUUGUCUUUUUUAAUGCACUUUUCGUUUAACAAGUCAACAUCAAUUUCUUUUGUUGUAAAAGGGUCAUUGGAAGGUGGCUUUCUUUUCGGAGAAAGUGUUUAUAGCCUUUGCCUCUGCAAUCGGAGAGAUUGAGGUCUGCAGCGUAGAUCCUUCGGGGUUAGAUGCAUUUGUGCUAAGUUAUAGCCUUUCAUAGACAACUUGUUGACUAUGAUCAGUCAUGUAGCUUACUCGCUUAUGCUAUUUUACCUACGCUUAGGAUGUUGACGAUCAGCUGAGCGCG